rnacentral:lncRNA from 1 species
UUAAGGCAGUGUGCUGCACUGCAUGCUGGUAAAAGAAUACAAGAGGAAACAUUUGAUCAGACAAAAACCACAUGCUCUGCAAGCAAGUCCCUCCGUACUGCUACUUAUUUAUAGCCUACCUUAGAGUUGACCUUAGACCCUUUCUUUGGGUAAAUAGUUAGCACACAAACUAGUUUAGACUGGAUAGGUCCAUAAAGGGUCUUCCUGCACAGAUUUCCUGCAAACCAAUGCAGUAGAUUUCUAAGCCUUUCUUUCAGACCUUUAUUGAUUUGUUUAACUUCAGGUGAUGAUUAGGACAGUUGCCAAGAAUUCAGUGGGGAUUUUUAUUCUAAACUGAAAUUAGAUUUCUUUUUAAAUAAAUAAAUAUUAGUUGGUGAGUUUAAAAACACCACCAAUAAAAUAAUGCCUGUCUGGUUUGGUGUGUAAAUUGAAGUUGCUAUUUCUGCAGAGCAGUCCACUAUUAUUCAACAUUAUUCUUUCAUGCAAAAUACAAUAUUUCCAUAUAGAAGCGGUUUGAGCUGGAUUGCUUGUUUGCUCGAAUUUGUGUUCUGGUAAUAAAACUUGUUGAAAUUAUUCAUCUUCAACUUUUUCUUGUAGUUUUAGGUUUGCAGCUGUGAUUUGCAUUUCACUCAUGUCAUUUACUGCUAGUCAUCUGUCAUUUUCAGAUAUUUUUUUUUAGUUUAAUUUUAAUCACUGAGAUUUAUUAUAGGCUUCAGCGACCCUUAGCAGAAGAUUUUUUAAAUGUAUUUUUGUUUUCGUGUCAAGCGUGUCAAGAGUUAAAGAACUGUAAUCGCAUGAUCAACGAAACGUCUUCUAGAUAAACCUUUGAAGUCCAGUGGUCCAGACAAACAGAAUUAUGGGAAGACAACAAACAUUAUUAACUUUAGGAUCCUAUUUGUUUGUUUAAACAAUGGAACUUUAGUUUUAACCCUUAGUAGUUUAGAUGACAGAGUUUUUGAAAGUGAUGUAUAACUUACCAGAUUGGUGCAAAAUGGAGUGAAUGGAGUAAACAGCAGGUAGGUAGGUAGGUAGGUAGGUAGGUAGGUAGGUAGGUAGGUAGGUGGGUGGGUGGGUGGGUAGGUAGGUAGGUAGGUAGGUAGGUAGAUAGAUAGAUAGAUAGAAUCAAGUGUAUGUAUUGCAUGUGUACAAAAAAAACAAGUAAACAAGACUUUAUGGUAAGUCCAUUUACAUAAUUUUAUAAAGUUCAGCCUACUGUUGUUUUUCGAAUAGAAUAGAAUAGGUCUUUAAUAAUCGCUGAGGAAAUUUAAAAAUGGCCAUCUGCUCACACUCAUAAAACACAUACACAUAUUAAAAACAAUAAAAAUAGUAAAAAAAUAGCAAUAGACUAAAAAGAUUAAUAAAUAAAAAGAUUAAUAAUUUAAAAAACAGUGGGUAAGAAAAUGAAAUCAAAAUAAAUAAAAACAAGAAU